CCAAUGACAGCAUCUCUGCGCUCUCUGUACAAUGCCGUCUGUCAAAUACAACCUAAAUGGAUAAUUUCCCUCAUUUCUCGGCACAAAAGUCUAACUUAGGGCAUUACAAUUACGUCAAAGUCAAAAAAUUGUCAUAAAAAAUGACACUGCUUAUAUUCCCUGUAUCCCAAAUUUUGACCGUUGUGUCGGCCGAUGCAGUUGCCAAAAGCUUGGAGUCCGGACUAAAUACCGCCUUAAGGAUAUAUUGACCUGAUGUCUGAAGUUUCUGGUAAAAAAAUGUUGCUCAUUUUUCCUGUUACUAUAUUGAUAAUGCUGACCAUGCCAUGUUCCGAGCCUACAAAAAGCUCGGAUUGAUCAGGGUUUAGCGUAGCGCAUGUUAUACUGUAUUUAUGCUGAUAGUUUUGGACACACUCAGAUAAUCUCAAAUCCCAAAUCCCGACAAUUUUAUCUUCGCUACAGGUAUACAUCCACUCUUGAUAUUUUUGGAACCCAAUCGAAGUCACAUUGCCUUGGUGUCCCUUAAACGAAAAACUCUGCUCACGCGUUAGCAUUUGGUUAGUCAUCUAUCUAAUAGAAAGAUCCGCCUUGUCGGUCCUUACCUACAGC